UAUUUCCAGUAGUGUGGUAACGUUGUCACCAUUAUUUUGUUGGCAGCACUGCAUGUCUUCGUUUGCGGCGAAACAAGGCGACAAGAAUUUGGUUGUCGGUUGUUGAGCUGUUGUGCCUGAUAUAUUUUCUUUUCUAUUUGAAUUUUAUAAUUUCCGAUUAAAUUUUGCUCAAAGUUCCGCGUUUUCCAUAAAAAACUAAGCUCUGGUGUUUGAGCGUCAUAAUCCGUCGCGAACAGGCAUAUUGCAUUUACAAUUAAAGCGUAAAUGUUCCAUUAAAACUCGUCUAAAAUAUUUGGUGAAAUAAUUGCGAAGUGAAAAAACCUGAUAUUACGGGCUCCGUGCUGCGGCUAGCGUGUAAGCAAAAGGAAAAAAAAAAUAAUUGCAAUCUUUUGUCUUAGCAUAAAUUGCUGAGCGGUAAUUCGUACGAACAAAAAAUAAUACAACGACUAGUAUCUACACAAGUUAUUUGGCAGAUUGGAUUUGCUUCAAGGCUAGAUUGCAUGUCUGGCACCUGAAAACUUUGGGAAUUCUGCAUAUAUCCAUAAUUCCACGUCCCUUCAACAUUUUUUUGUUUGAACGUUGUAUGCAUGGAAAACCAACGCAGGUGUCUUGCCCUUUGUGAGAAACUAAAAGCGCGCGAAACAAGUAAACACUAGUCUCGUCUUUGCAAUUGAAACAAAUUCCUUUAUACUCGUACAACCUAUCGCCACCACUCCACGGAAAUAAAUUUAGCCAAGAAAUUAUAAUUGCGUUCGACAAAUAACACAAUUAAUUCCGAGCUAACUACUUAUUUGCCAGUAAAUAUAUUUCAGUACAUACAUUUCUUAUAAAUGUUUUAAAACGUCUUGGAAAAGAAUGUGCAAAAAUAACAUAGACAGUAGUUUGCGACAAAAUAACGUAAUUAAUUUUUAAUUACUCUCGCGUAGAAAGUUUGCUCGUGAAAUGAAUUAAUUCUUAGAAUUAGUUUUUUUUUUUUAAUAAAUUAAAAUAUCGCACAUUUCGAAUCAAGCACCAAA